rnacentral:rRNA from 1 species
CCUACGGGGCGCAGCAGUGAGGAAUAUUGGUCAAUGGACGAGAGUCUGAACCAGCCAAGUAGCGUGAAGGAUGACUGCCCUAUGGGUUGUAAACUUCUCUUAUAAAGGAAUAAAACGAGGCACGUGUGCCUUUUUGCAUGUACUUUAUGAAUAAGGAUCGGCUAACUCCGUGCCAGCAGCCGCGGUAAUACGGAGGAUCCGAGCGUUAUCCGGAUUUAUUUGGGUUAAAGGUAGCGUAGAUGGGUUGUUAAGUCAGUUGUGAAAGUUUGCGGCUCAACCGUAAAAUUGCAAUUGAUACUGGCAGUCUUGAGUACAGUUGAGGUAGGCGGAAUUCGUGGUGUAGCGGUGAAAUGCUUAGAUAUCACGAAGAACCCCGAUUGCGAAGGCAGCUUACUAAACUGUGACUGACAUUGAUGCUCGAAAGUGUGGGUAUCAAACAGGAUUAGAUACCCGGGUAGUC